UCUUAAUGCGGUCGCGCUCAGGAUUAAUCAUAAUUAUUAUUAUAUGUUGGCUUUUAACUAGUGCCUGUUGGAUCCUAUGCGGCUUCCAUUUCUUUCUCCGCACAUGUAUUGAAGAUACUUGUUUAGAGCUUGACCAGUACAUGAGGGAUCCAAGCAGCAGCAUUCUUAACUCAAUACUACCUUGUCCCAA